rnacentral:rRNA from 1 species
CAGUCGCCGCGGUAAUACGAAGGGUGCAAGCGUUAAUCGGAAUUACCGGGCGUAAAGCGUGCGUAGGCGGUGAGUUAAGUCUGCUGUGAAAUCCCCGGGCUCAACCUGGGAAUGGCAGUGGAUACUGGCUCGCUAGAGUGUGUCAGAGGAUGGUGGAAUUCCCGGUGUAGCGGUGAAAUGCGUAGAGAUCGGGAGGAACAUCAGUGGUGAAGGCGGCCAUCUGGGACAACACUGACGCUGAGGCACGAAAGCGUGGGGAGCAAACAGGAUUAGAUACCCCCGUAGUCCCUGUCUCUUAUAA